GGUGACCUCGGAUCAGGUAGG
rnacentral:rRNA from 1 species